rnacentral:tRNA from 1 species
AGGAUUAUAGUUUAAAAUUAAAACAUUUAAUUUGCAGUUAAAAAAAAUUGUAUAAUCAAUUUAUCUUA